rnacentral:ncRNA from 1 species
UCCAAGGGGUGCCCCGACAGGGGGCUGAGAUACCGACCGCCCGUCCCGGGCAGCGCGGUGACCCUUUGAACCUGAUCCGGGUCAUGCCGGCGAAGGGACAGG